rnacentral:rRNA from 1 species
GAUGAACGCUAGCGGCAGGCUUAACACAUGCAAGUCGAGGGGUAGAAGCAGCUUGCUGCUUUGAGACCGGCGCACGGGUGCGUAACGCGUAUGCAAUCUACCUUUUACAGAGGGAUAGCCCAGAGAAAUUUGGAUUAAUACCUCAUAGUAUGUGAGAAUCGCAUGGUUUUCACAUUAAAGUUCCAACGGUAAAAGAUGAGCAUGCGUCCCAUUAGCUAGAUGGUAAGGUAACGGCUCACCAUGGCGACGAUGGGUAGGGUCGUGAGAGCGUGGCCCCCCACACGGGUACUGAGACACGGACCCGACUCCUACGGGAGGCAGCAGUAAGGAAUAUUGGACAAUGGUCGAAAGACUGAUCCAGCCAUCCCGCGUGCAGGAUGACUGCCCUAUGGGUUGUAAACUGCUUUUAUAUGGGAAGAAUAGCAUAGAUUCAUCUGUGUAUGACGGUACCAUAUAAAUAAGCACCGGCU